UGAAACAUUGUAUCUUUAACAAGUAUCACAUCAAAGUAAAGCGGAAUUUAAAUAACAGGGGCAAUCUCCCACAGGAAGAUGAUCGGCACAUCAUUAGACUUAGAAUUCCUCGUCGUCAAAGUCUCCAUCAAAGUUUCCAGCAUCACCCUCUGAUCAAAAUAUUAGCAAGGGUGAACUCACUUAUUGUCGGGGCUCAGUAAGUGGGGAAAAAUUAAUGCAGGUAUAACAAGGUGGGGCUAAGGUUGAGCAGUAGACAUUUUAGUUGGUCAAUAUUUUAUUAACAACACCUGCCUUACUAAUCAGUGUGAAUCCCAAAUGUCCCAUUUAAACAAAAGAGUAUGAAUAUAACAAAAACACUUAAGUGAAACCACUUAAGCAAACCAUUGGCAGAUCAUCGGAUCUCAAUUUAAUUCCAUCUUCAAGUUCAGUUAUCAUGUGAGGAGUCCAGGUCGCUCAUAACCGGGAGCACGGCUGAUAUAUCAGUCUUACACUCUGCAGAGAUGGUACAACUUUACCCACAAGCCAUGUAUCCCAUCUAGCCCGGGUUGAUCGGACCCUUAAACACUGCCGAGGUGAAUGGCUAGGGAUCCAUUAUGAGACUUUCACAAAAUACACUUAAUACGAAGCAACCCGCUAAGGUUUCUAAAGACGAUGGUGGUGGGCCCUUGGGUGAGGUACCUUAGACAAGAAUACGUCCCCAUGUUAACGUGGGCUACCAGUACCUACCACUCCCCCUCUUUCCCAUAUUUCAGGUAAGGUUGUCAGGCACUAAGCAUAUAAAGCUAAUUACCAAAGCGAGAGCCAUGAUAGCACUCGUGGUUGCACUGUUAUCCUAGGUGGUCACUCCAUGUUCCAAUUAAUUUGAAAUAAUAUCGUUUUAACCAUUGGGUUAAUGUUAUAAUUGCCAAUUUCAAUUUUAAAACAUUAAUACCAAUUAAUGAGUGACAUUAAAAUCAUUAAGUUGAACGGUAGCAAAAAUUUGCAAAGCUUAAUAAUUACCUAGGGUAAACAAGGAAUACAGUUGGUAAAUCUAGGAAAUCCUUAAUUAGGUAAACCCAUCAAAUUAUGUAGUAUAUCAAAAAGUAAACAUUAUUAUAUGCAAUGAGUGGGUACAAAAAUAAUAUGCAGAGGGAGAAUCCACUUGCCUUGCUCAAAAGAGUCUUGCGGGUCGUCCUCAAACAAAAUCGGAUCCUCUACCACACAAUCAGCUUCUAAUAAUGUCGCACGUCGCCAUACAAAAAGAAAACAUACACCCAUAAACAUACACCAUUACAUAAACAUACACCAUUACAUGAAUAAACAUACACCAUACAAAUCACACUUAUGAAAGAAAAUCGUCUGAAAUAGAACCUGAUUUGUAACUAUACUAUAAGUCUACUUAUAUCGACGUCCAUCUCAUUUGCUGCGAGGUAAAAUACUAAUCAUUUAGUUUCGAGAAUUCACUAGAGGAAUCUAUAUAGGAAAUUGACUAUGGUAGCAUAUACUAUAUAUGGAUUCAUUUAAAAAUACGUUAAUAUGGCGCUAAUUUAAACUUUAUAAAAUCUAGAAAAUUAACUAAUUUAUUAUUGUAUUUCUACUGAAAAGGAUGUGUGUUAUAUUUUUUUCCUUUACUAUUCAUUGGAAAAACUACAUUAGGACGCUAUAAUAUUAUUUUGAAGACUUAUGACCAAUAGUUCAUAAAAGGGAUUAUUAAACUGCUAGUAGGCAUGACCACUAGUUAUUAUUUUAUAUUUUUAGAAUAUCAAGCAAUGGAGUACAAAUAUAGAACUUAACAUGAAACUAAAUAAUAUUUUAUGAACAAAGAUAUCUAACUAAAUAACUAAUUAUCUUAUAUUUUUUGUGAUAGAAACAUAAGUGCGACGUUUAUUUUAGUUUCUUGUUUUUAGCAAAACUGUGUUUAAGUAUUUAUAACUCAAAUUCAAAUUACGAACAUGUGAAAAAUAGUGUAAACAUUAAUUGAUCACAAAAUACGUAACUGACCAUAAAAUAGCUAAUUUAUUUAUACUACAAAGCACUUAAACUCUAAUAAAAAAAUCAUCGGAGGGACUAGCGCAUAUUUAGUAGUAGCCAUCAGAAGCUAAACUGCAGAAGUGAAGUCUUUUUCUACCUUGUUGUAACUUGCGCUGGGUGAGGGCACGGCUGGUGGGCUGACGACCGAGAGGGCGAAAUCGAGCACCAAUAGGGAGGUCGUCGGGGCACCGGGUUCUGGCGACAGUCGACGAACAGCUCUGGCGGCCAAAGGGCGAUGGCGUAGCACACCGGGAAAGUACUCGGCGAGCAGCAGUGAGCAGGGGCGCGCGUAUGAGGAAGAGAGCAG
rnacentral:lncRNA from 1 species